GACGGGUGUGACCGUGCGAGGCCACCGGCGGUCCAGGGGAUCCAACGAAGGCGAGGCGCCGGGAGGGAUCCGGUGCUAGAGCGGCUGCAUCCAGGUCAGUUCGCUCAUCCUCCCCCUUCUCUAUCAGGCCCUGAGAAUCCCUAACCGAGCUGUCGUGAGCGGAAACGAGCCGGCGACGCCUCCGCUGAGGUUGCGGCGAUGAAACCCGCGCUAGGGUUCCAGGUGGUCCUGGCGGGGCAACCGUGCGGCAAGGGCCACUGGUCUUUGGGACACAUUUCCACAUGCAUAGCUCUGGCGGCAAUGGCGCUAGUGGCUGAUGACGUCUCAUCCUGCUCCUAGCCGACGACGGUGGAUCAACGCCUAUUUUAAUUCAAUCUUCCACUCUUUUUCUUGGUAUAGGGAACUCUUUGUGGGCAACCUGUUCUUCUCCAUGGUGCUCGCGCAAGGAGGUCGGGCCGUGCUCUGCAGAAUUCAGAAUGGAGGUGAUGGAGGGCACUGUACAAGAGAGGACAUGUGUAUGGGCAACAAUAGUGCAUCAGGUCCCCCUAUAUUUCUUUCCGUUUCAUGUACGAAUCCUUCUUCCACCAAAAAAAUUCUUUGUCCUGACAUCCUUCCAAUCUAAUUUGUACAUACAGCUAAUGUUGUUGGCGGUGGUCAACUGAUUUGAGCAUAUUUGUAGACUGGUAGGCGCGCGGCCGUACUGCCUGAGUCACCACCGGAGAGAGGAUCCGAGAGGAGACGGGCAGAUGCUCCAGAGGAUUCUGUACAUCAAGCAACUUCCUCUUCAUCUAUACCCAAUAUCUCUAUUUUGAAAUGUUCACAUACUUGGUUCUCUCCCAUGUGACAUGUGACUAAAACUAAAAUUAACUAGAUGAUACCCCGCGCGUUGCUGCGGGAAUUGCAUGCAAUAUAUUUUGAUGAUAUUUGGUUAUAUAUACAUGAACAUGAA
rnacentral:lncRNA from 1 species